UACGUAGGGUCCGAGCGUUGUCCGGAAUUAUUGGGCGUAAAGAGCUCGUAGGCGGUGUGUCGCGUCGGCCGUGAAAACCUGCGGCUCAACUGCGGGCUUGCAGCCGAUACGGGCAGGCUAGAGUUCGGUAGGGGAGACUGGAAUUCCUGGUGUAGCGGUGAAAUGCGCAGAUAUCAGGAGGAACACCGGUGGCGAAGGCGGGUCUCUGGGCCGAUACUGACGCUGAGGAGCGAAAGCGUGGGGAGCGAACAGG
rnacentral:rRNA from 1 species